GCCCAUGUAGUCUACUCAAGAUAUAACACUGAAGAUGUUAAGACGGACCCUAGAAAGCCCCACGGGCA
rnacentral:tRNA from 1 species